rnacentral:misc_RNA from 1 species
GUGAAUCAUCGAAUUUUUGAACGCAAAUUGCACUCUCCUCGGAGAGUAUGCCUGUUUGAGGGUCAGCCUAUAAAAAAUCGACAUCGUUGCUGUUUCGCGGUGGCGUUCGUCGGAAAUUGGGUCAUCUUAAAUCCUUUUGUUUUAGGCGACUUAAAUUUUUCUUUUGUUUCCUUGAACGUUUCUAGGAUCUAUUUCUUUACACGUUUAGGUUAUCGAUUUUUAUUGGACU